GGCGAAAGCCUGACGGAGCAAUACCGCGUGAGGGAGGAAGGCUCUUGGGUCGUAAACCUCUUUUCUCAGGGAAGAACACAAUGACGGUACCUGAGGAAUAAGCAUCGGCUAACUCCGUGCCAGCAGCCGCGGUAAUACGGAGGAUGCAAGCGUUAUCCGGAAUGAUUGGGCGUAAAGCGUCCGCAGGUGGCUGUGUAAGUCUGCUGUUAAAGAGUCUAGCUCAACUAGAUAAGAGCAGUGGAAACUACACGGCUAGAGUACGUUCGGGGCAGAGGGAAUUCCUGGUGUAGCGGUGAAAUGCGUAGAGAUCAGGAAGAACACCGGUGGCGAAGGCGCUCUGCUAGGCCGUAACUGACACUGAGGGACGAAAGCUAGGGGAGCGAAUGGGAUUAGAUACCCCAGUAGUCCUAGCCGUAAACGAUGGAUACUAGGCGUGGCUUGUAUCGACCCGAGCCGUGCCGUAGCUAACGCGUUAAGUAUCCCGCCUGGGGAGUACGCCGGCAACGGUGAAACUCAAAGGAAUUGACGGGGGCCCGCACAAGCGGUGGAGUAUGUGGUUUAAUUCGAUGCAACGCGAAGAACCUUACCAAGGCUUGACAUGUCGCGAAUCUUCUCGAAAGGGAAGAGUGCCUUCGGGAGCGCGAACACAGGUGGUGCAUGGCUGUCGUCAGCUCGUGUCGUGAGAUGUUGGGUUAAGUCCCGCAACGAGCGCAACCCUCGUUUUUAGUUGCCAGCAUUAAGUUGGGCACUCUAGAGAGACUGCCGGUGACAAACCGGAGGAAGGUGGGGAUGACGUCAAGUCAGCAUGCCCCCUACGCCUUGGGCUACACACGUACUACAAUGCUCCGGACAGAGGGCAGCAAGCAUGCGAAUGCAAGCAAAUCCCGUAAACCGGAGCUCAGUUCAGAUCGCAGGCUGCAACUCGCCUGCGUGAAGGAGGAAUCGCUAGUAAUUGCAGGUCAGCAUACUGCAGUGAAUUCGUUCCCGGGCCUUGUACACACCGCCCGUCACACCAUGGAAGCUGGUAGUGCCCGAAGUCAUUACUCCAACCUUUCGGGGAGGAGGAUGCCUAAGGCAGGACUGGUGACUGGGGUGAAGUCGUAACAAGGUAGCCGUACCGGAAGGUGUGGCUGGAUCACCUCCUUU
rnacentral:rRNA from 1 species